rnacentral:rRNA from 1 species
AAUAUUGGACAAUGGGGGCAACCCUGAUCCAGCCAUGCCGCGUGUGUGAAGAAGGUCUUCGGAUUGUAAAGCACUCUAUGUUGGGAGGAAGGGCAGUAAGUUAAUACCUUGCUGUUUUGACGUUACCGACAGAAUAAGCACCGGCUAACUUCGUGCCAGCAGCCGCGGUAAUACGAAGGGUGCAAGCGUUAAUCGGAAUUACUGGGCGUAAAGCGCGCGUAGGUGGUUCAGUAAGAUGGGUGUGAAAUCCCCGGGCUUAACCUGGGAACUGCUUUCAUAACUGCUGAGCUAGAGUACGGUAGAGGGUAGUGGAAUUUCCUGUGUAGCGGUGAAAUGCGUAGAGAUCUGGAGGAAUACCGAUGGCGAAGGCAGCCUUCUGGCAUCAUACUGACACUGAGGUUCGAAAGCGUGGGUAGCAAAC